rnacentral:lncRNA from 1 species
GUAAAUAAUGUAUGAAAAUUUAAUUGAUUUAUGAAGGUUUUAUUUACAUGAUUUAAUUUAAAAAUGAAAUUUAAUAAUAAUAAGAAGGGAAAAUAUAUAACACAUCCUCCAAAUGAACGAACAGAGCAAGAGCAACAAAUUACGAUGUCACGGGUUGUUGUGUGUGGGUGAGGGAGAGUAUGGAGACGAGAGAGAAACAAAUUGGAUAAGUGAGGAAGGUGGAUUAGGGUUAGGCAAGGGUUUCUGAUUU